rnacentral:lncRNA from 10 species
UAGGCUGUGCCUGGGUGCAUCACGAUUCACCUAAAAAUCACCACUGAAAUCCGCAGCAGGCAAUUGUGCCAGACAACAGGUGAUGACGGGGGCAAACACGACUCAGCUUCUGCCUGCAGCAUCUACAGUCAUGGAAGGAGACCUCCGUGAAAGUGUGGUGUUUGCUGUGAGAGGGAGCAGACGCUCACUGCCAUAGAUCUCAGAGACCACCAAGGCUGAAUAAGCUGAACAACGCAUGCGGAAAGUCCACAGGCCUGCACACCAAUGGCCACAGCCUGUUCUCUCCCUGCAGCUCUCUACUUUCCACUGAGCCUGUGAGUCCAGCAGGGACUGGGGUUGGGAUGCAGUUUUCAGAGACCUGUGACUACACCUUUGUUACUGGAUAGACUCCUCAGCCCUGGAUCAGCCACAGCCCUCUCCCAGGAAGCCCCUCAACUCUCUGCUAUUACCCUUCUCCAAGGCCUGAAAACAGGACUCUCUCUUCGAGAAGAUCACAGACCCUUGAGAAGAUACAGAAAUUCUCUGCUCGGCCCAAGUCAAAAUAAAAUGACUGAAUAGGCCAGGGCAGCACAGACGAGAGAGGAGUUUUCUCUGGGGCAGUGGUUCUCCAAGUGUAGUCACUGAGCAAGCAGCAGCAGAGUCAGCUGGGAACUUGUGGGACAUACAGAUCCUGGAGCCCCACCCAGACUACUGAAGCAGAACCUCCUGGGGUGGCGCUGGCAAUCUGUGUUUUAAUAAGCCCUCCUCAUUCUGAUGUCCUCUAAAGUGUGAGAACCACAGCUCCAGAAUACUGCAGGGCAGUGACGGGUGGAGGAGAAGGAGUAGGGCUGACUUCUCAGAAGAGUCCCGAAGACCUUGUCCUUGAGUCUGCAGAGAAGUUCACCAGGCAGACAAAGAAAGAAAGAGCAAGCCCAGGCAUACCCACAAGUACCAUCUGAGCUCUGCAUACCUUCUGAUAUAUGUUUAAUAAUCUUGGAAUAACAAUUGUAUUGAUAUUAUGUUGUUUAGAGUAAGUGGCAAUGUAUUCUUUGAAGAGUUAAAACUGUUUUCUGUGUUUAGAAAAGUUCUCACUUGAACUUAAUUUUGUGUUCUAAAUUUAACUAAGGAUUAUUUUUAUACAAACUUUUGAAAGCUUACUAAAUUUAUCUGAUUAACUUGUUAACAGUAGGUAGUUAGGCAGACAUAAGCAGGGCAGACCCCCACCCCCACCCCAGGAACGUCAGACAACCAUCAGGUGAUGGUCAGGAAGUUGUUCCACUGCUCCCUAAAAUAAUAACUGAUCGCACCCAGCACCAGGGAAAGGCAGUCUCCCAAUAGAUAGAAAACACCUGGCCGGGCACGGUGGCUCACGCCUG